rnacentral:rRNA from 1 species
CGAACGCUGGCGGCGUGCUUACCACAUGCAAGUCGAACGGAAAGGCCUGCUUUCCCUUGUGGAUUGCGGGUGCUCGAGUGGCGAACGGGUGAGUAACACGUGAGUGAUCUGCCCCCAACUUGGGUAUAAGCCUGGGAAACUGGGUCUAAUUCCCGAUAGGACUGCAGGGUGGUGCCUGUGGUGGAAAACGAUUUUCUAGUGGUUGGGGAUGAGCUCGCGGCCUAUCAGCUUGUUGGUGGGGUAAUGGCCUACCAAGGCGGCGACGGGUAGCCGGCCUGAGAGGGUGGACGGCCACAUUGGGACUGAGAUACGGCCCAGACUCCUACGGGAGGCAGCAGUGGGGAAUAUUGCACAAUGGGCGGAAGCCUGAUGCAGCGACGCCGCGUGGGGGAUGACGGCCUUCGGGUUGUAAACUCCUUUCGACCGCGAGGAAGCCACCUGGUUGGAAGGGUGGUGACGGUAGUGGUAGAAGAAGCACCGGCUAACUACGUG